rnacentral:rRNA from 1 species
UACGUAGGAUGCGAGCGUUAUCCGGAAUUACUGGGUGUAAAGGGAGCGCAGGCGGGACUGCAAGUUGGAUGUGAAAUGCCGCAGCUUAACUGCGGGGCUGCAUCCAAAACUGUAGUUCCUGAGUGGAGUAGAGGCAAGCGGAAUUCCGAGUGUAGCGGUGAAAUGCGUAGAUAUUCGGAGGAACACCAGUGGCGAAGGCGGCUUGCUGGGCUCUAACUGACGCUGAGGCUCGAAAGUGUGGGGAGCAAACAGG